rnacentral:sRNA from 1 species
UCUUGAACUACCGACAACAAUGACCUGU